rnacentral:rRNA from 1 species
UACGGGGGGGGCUAGCGUUGUUCGGAAUGACUGGGCGUAAAGGGCGCGUAGGCGGCUUUUUAAGUGAGGCGUGAAAGCCCUGGGCUUAACCCAGGAGGUGCGUUUCAUACUGAGGAGCUUGAGUACGAGAGAGGAAAGUGGAAUUCCUAGUGUAGAGGUGAAAUUCGUAGAUAUUAGGAAGAACACCAGUGGCGAAGGCGGCUUUCUGGCUCGUAACUGACGCUGAGGCGCGAAAGCGUGGGGAGCAAACAGG